rnacentral:tRNA from 1 species
GGUUCCAUAGUGUAGCGGUUAGCAUGUCUGCUUUACAUGCAGAAGGUCCCGGGUUCACACCCCAGUGGAGCCA